CGAGGGGCUCUAAAAGAUCUGCUAACUCUUUAACCCGGAACUAACAUCCACCCCC
rnacentral:tRNA from 1 species